CUGCUGCCUCCCGUAGGAGUCUGGGCCGUAUCUCAGUCCCAAUGUGGCCGGCCAACCUCUCAGUCCGGCUACUGAUCGUCGCCUUGGUGGGCCGUUACCUCACCAACUAGCUAAUCAGACGCGAGGCCAUCUUCCAGCGAUAAAUCUUUGACAUCAGUGCCAUGCGACACCAAUGCGUCAUGCGGUAUUAGCAGUCGUUUCCAACUGUUGUCCCCCUCUGGAAGGCAGGUUCCUCACGUCG
rnacentral:rRNA from 1 species